UCCAAAUAGUAAGAGGCCAUAAAUCAUCGUCCUUAGAUUUAUAUUCUUAAUUCAAAUGUUUUAGUUGCCAGGUUAUUGUUUAUAGUUACAUACCAACGUUUGUUAUCCAGAGAAGCAAGCAAAUUUGUCAAGAAAUUCUCGAGAAACUAAUUUUGCUAAUCUGUAUACCAUGAGUUUACGAACCAUCUUUUUGGUGUUUGUCAUCUGCUCAUUGUUGUCUAUGGGGGUACUAGGACAAGAAGAAGGGGCAUCCUCCGUAGCACCGGUUACUGAAAGUGGCGCCGAUACAAAUUUGGCCGGAAUUGGUCAUGUCGCAAUCAUUCUUGCGUCUAUGGGAUUUGCUAUGUUUAAUAGACACUAAUUGUAAUAUUAUUUCAUGUUUUUGAAUGAUUUACCUAUAUUUUUGUGAAUAAAUGUACCAGAUGUAU